GAUGAACGCUGGCGGCGUGCUUAACACAUGCAAGUCGAACGAAGCACUUUAUUUGAUUUCCUUCGGGACUGAUUAUUUUGUGACUGAGUGGCGGACGGGUGAGUAACGCGUGGGUAACCUGCCUUGUACAGGGGGAUAACAGUUGGAAACGGCUGCUAAUACCGCAUAAGCGCACAGCAUCGCAUGAUGCAGUGUGAAAAACUCCGGUGGUAUAAGAUGGACCCGCGUUGGAUUAGCUAGUUGGUGAGGUAACGGCCCACCAAGGCGACGAUCCAUAGCCGACCGGAGAGGGGGAAGGGACAGAUUGGGAAGGAGGCGAGGCCCAGACUCCGACGGGAGGCAGCAGGGGGGAAGAUGGCAAAAAGUGCGAAAGCCUGAAACAGCGAAGCCGCGUGAGCGAAGAAGGAUUUCGGUAAGUAAAGCUCUAGCAGCAGAGAAGAUAAUGACGGUACCUGACUAAGAAGAACCGGCUAAAUACGU
rnacentral:rRNA from 1 species